UGGUGCUGUGCUCUGAUCUACUAACACGGCCCUACUAACCGGUUUCUUCUCUUACUAACCCAGCCCUGCCGAGCUCUGGGC
rnacentral:lncRNA from 1 species